AUGAAUGAAAUUGAGUGGGGUUGUAGCUGGCCUUUUACUAGGCAUGUGCACACCUUGUUCAACCACCUUCUAAACCUCUGUGCACUUCUCAUGAGUUAGGCUGUGUCUGAAAUAUGGCAAAGUCUAGCUUGUGUGUUUUAUACAAACAACUUGUUAAAGAAUGUCAUCUUCAUGCUUUCAUGCAUAUAAUA
rnacentral:misc_RNA from 1 species